UCGAGAAUCAUUCACAAUGGGGGCAACCCUGAUGGUGCAACGCCGCGUGGAGGAUGAAGGUCUUCGGAUUGUAAACUCCUGUCAUCCGGGAGUAAGACCUGGUCGUGAAUAGCGAACAGGGUUGAUAGUACCGGAAGAGGAAGGGACGGCUAACUUCGUGCCAGCAGCCGCGGUAAUACGAAGGUCCCAAGCGUUGUUCGGAAUCACUGGGCGUAAAGGGUGCGUAGGCGGUCCGGUAAGUCGGGUGUGAAAUCCCGGGGCUCAACCCCGGAACUGCACUCGAUACUGCCGGGCUAGAGGACUGGAGAGGAGACUGGAAUUCUCGGUGUAGCAGUGAAAUGCGUGGAUAUCGAGAGGAACACUCGUGGCGAAGGCGAGUCUCUGGACAGUUCCUGACGCUGAGGCACGAAGGCCAGGGGAGCGAAAGGG
rnacentral:rRNA from 1 species